UUUUAUGUUAUCACAGUAAAAAAAGUUUAUUUUAAAAGGCGGGAUGGGUUAGGAAAAGUGAGGUGAGGAGGGAGAAAUUCCAGCUCCCAAAGGAGCCCCUCUCACAGUGGGUCCAUCAUAUUCAACAUGGUGUUGUCUGCCAUUGAUUCAACAAACUCCGCUUGAGUUACAGUGUGUGCAAGAACUUAGUCCAUAAAACUCUAUACACAUGGGAUAUUGUUGGUAUGUGUGGCUGUCUGAGGCAGCACAGCGUAGUGAAAAGAGAAUGGGUGUCCUUCUUUCAUUCCACCAAUGUUUAAUGAUUGCCCAUCGUAGGUAGCACUCUGCCACGUGCUGUAGGGACAAGUCAAGAAAGAUGAAGUCUCUGCUCUCACACUCUAGCAAGUGGCAGACGUGCUAAGAAUGCAAUAGAGUGUUACGUUUGCUAUUCCAUGGUCUACUUCUGAGAGUCCAUUGUGAGCAUCUCCUCCCGUCUUUGGCUUUGAAGUGACCUUGAAAAUGGAAGCUAUUUGCCAGGAUGGUAGAAUGGAGUGAUACAAGGAGCCUGGGUCCGUGACAUUGGUGGAGUAGCAUUCCUGCCCUCUACUGCCUAUCUCUGGACCACUUUUAUGUGAGGGAAAAACAAAAUUCUCUCUUGUUUAAGGCUCUGUUAUUUCGGAUUUUCUGUUCUCUGCAGCUAAAUCUAACGAACCUUGAUGGAUAUUGCUGGAUGGAGCUGUGGGAGACAUCAGCGGACAGCAGCUACCUCUUAUGGAGCACUUGUGAUGGGCUCACGCGGUUAACGCAUGUACAUGGUUUCAGUCUUCUGACUUGACUUAGCAGCAUUUGACUCUGUUGACCAUCCCCUUCUUCUUAAAACUGGCCCCCGGCUUCUGUGACCUCACAUUAUCCUGGUGUUUGUGGGAUCUCUUUUGAUCAUCAGGUGACAGAAAUCUUGACUUAUACUGGCUUAAACAACAACAAAAGGGUAUGUUGUCUCAAGUAACUCAACAGUAAUCCAGGGGUAGAUGUCUGGAUCCAGUUGAAUAGAGGGGUUCAAACAACAGUAUUAAGACAGGAGUAACAUUCAAAAUAUUUAACAACUGAUGUUACACUGUCACUGACUCAUUAGAACAGAUGUCCGAGGGGGUGACCUGGAAGUCCCCUACUGGUCCUGGCAUUAACUCUUUAGUUACUGGAUGAUGGGGAAGUCCAGGGAGUCCAGAAAAAGGGUGGCUGGGAGGCAGUGGGGGAAUGACUCCUAUUCCCAGGCAGUUUAGGCAGUAUUUACUUACCAACAGAAAUAUUUCAACAACAAUCAGCCAUUCCGGUGUGUACCAGCUGAAUAACAGUCCUGUGUUAGGAUCUGGUCACUCUAUUUUUCCAUCUCUCAGUUGUGCUCUUCCAUGUUGACUCUAUCCUCACUCUCUCCCAUGGUUGCAAGAUGGCUGCCAGGGGCUACCGGGGCUACAUGCUUCCUCGUUCAUAUCUAGCAGAGGAGUGAGGCUCUUUUCCCCAGUAGCCCUAGCAUAAGUCCUGAGAUUUGCUCUGAUUGGGCUGGCUGAGAUCAUAUGCCCAAUCCUGAUUGAUCAAUGUGGCUGGGGGGUAGAGCGGGGAGCCUGGCUUAGGCUAGAUCACAUACCCCACCCCUGAGCCCCAGGUUAGAGUUAGCCCCAUUGGAGUAUAUAGGCUUAGGGUGGGGUUGGUUUCCCCAGAGCCAAAUUGGGGUACCGUUCUCAAAAGAAGAGGGGGUAUGCAUUAGUUUCCUAUUGCUGCUACAACAAAUUACCACAAACAUAGUGAUUUAAAAUAACCCAAUUUAUUCUCUUAUAGUUCUGGAGGUCAGAAGUCUGAAAUGGGUUUUAUGGAGCUAAAAUCAAGAUGUUGACAGAAAUGUGUUCCUUCUGGCUGUUCCAGGAGAGAAUCCAUUCCCUUGCUUCUCCCAGCUUCUAGAAGCUGCCCACAUUCUUUGGCUCAUGGUCACAUCAUUCCAACUUCCAAUUCUGUUGUUACAUCUCUUUCUCUAACUCUGACUCCCAUUCCUCCCUCUUAUAAGAACCGUUAUGAUUAUCUUGGGCCUGCUUGAAUAAUCCAGAAUAAUCUCCUCAUUUCAAGAUCCUUGACUUAAUCAUAUCCGCAAAGUUCCUUUUACUAUAUAAGGAAGUCUUCCCUGGUUCAUACUCCCAGGCUGGACCAAGUGCUCCGCCAUGGUGCCUGCUGGAUGUCUUCUCUAUCACAAUAGCAAAGCUUCUCUCUGCCUUGGCCCCUCAGCCUUUGCUCAGUCCUCCCAGUGGAUGGAUCUUUGACAAUUGCACCCAAAAGAAUUCUGACCAGUACACAGGUUCACCAUAAUAUGUAAACAGAGUGACUUGGUCUAUGGUGGCCUGAAGACAAGCCAACAAGCUUUGGAUAGCAGAGCAACGAGAGGCAAAGAACUUGAGCCCUUGAUGACACCAUUAAGCUGCUGAAUUAACGAACCCUGGAGCCCAUCUCAAUUAGGACUUCUUGUUAUGUGAAAUAAUAAAAUUUCCCUAUUGGUUAAGUAAAUUUGAAUUGUUUUUUUUAUUAAAUGUAGCUAAAACCAUCCUUAACUUGAUCUCCAGCCCUCUCCGCCUCCUUCCUGUGAUCUUGGCAGGGAUAGCGUGGAGGUGGGGUGACAUACCUCUGGCUAGCCUAAGGAAUGGUUUGCUUCUCACAGUUACUCUUACUCCUUGGAUGCUAUUUUUUCUUGCAGGCCCCCUUAGCCCCUUCUGGACACAUUCCUGAUUCCUUCACUCCUCCAAGUAUCUCUAAUACUUACCAGAUUCUACUGAGGUUUUGGGGAAACAGGGAGAAGUUCAGCACAGUAUAGGCACCAACUCAAAAUGAUCACUGUCCUAAAAUUUCAUGGGCCAUUCCAUUACUGCCAAGAAGAACUUCUUUCUAGCUAUAUCCGUCCUUGGGAAUGAGCUUGCUGUCUUCUCCUCCAGCCUCUCUCCAGCUCCGUUCUAGUUUCUAGCCGUCUACUCCAAAACUUUUCUUACUCUACAAUACAAAGUAUAAACUUCAGGCUGAAGCUGACCCACUGAACACUCAUUAAAGUGCCGCUGGAAACAAAGGAACAAGUACACCUGAGAAUGACAGGGUUUUUUUUUUCUUUAACAAAAUUAAAUUCUUAGGCUGGGCUCCCUUUCCCAUCAGUUUUUGGGAAGCUAAAGAGAAUACUAUAACAAAUACUUCUCCUUCUGUCCCAAGCAAGCUCCCAGGGAUUACGGGAUCCCUCGCUCCCCACCCCCUCUACCUACACAUUUACUAGUUGCCCCUGAAUAAAUAUAUAUUUUUUAAUAACAAUUUUAUUUGAGAUAUAAUUCACAUCACAAAACUCACCAUUUUAAAUCAUACAGUUCAGUGAGUUUUAGUACAUUCAUUCAAAAGGUUGUGCAACCAUUGCUACUAUGGAAUUUCAGAACAUUUU